rnacentral:rRNA from 1 species
GAUGAACGCUGGCGGCGUGCCUAAUACAUGCAAGUCGAGCGAACGGACGAGAAGCUUGCUUCUCUGAUGUUAGCGGCGGACGGGUGAUUAACACGUGGAUAACCUACCUAUAAGACUGGGAUAACUUCGGGAAACCGGAGCUAAUACCGGAUAAUAUUUUGAACCGCAUGGUUCAUAAGUGAAAGACGGUCUUGCUGUCACUUAUAGAUGGAUCCGCGCUGCAUUAGCUAGUUGGUAAGGUAACGGCUUACCAAGGCAACGAUGCAUAGCCGACCUGAGAGGGUGAUCCGCCAAAACGGAACUUAGGCCAGGGCCCGACUCCUACGGGAGGCAGGAGGAGGGAAUCUUCCGCAAUUGGCGAAAGCCUUACGGAGCAACGCCGCGGUAGUGAUGAAGGGCCUCGGAUCGGUAAACUCUGUUAGUAGGGAAGAACAUAUGUGUAAGUAACUGUGCACAUCUUGAAGGUAACUAAUCAGAAAGGCACGGCUAACUUCGGU